GAUGAACGCUGGCGGCGUGCCUAAUACAUGCAAGUCGAGCGAACAGACGAGGAGCUUGCUCCUCUGACGUUAGCGGCGGGCGGGUGAGUAACACGUGGAUAACCUACCUAUAAGACUGGGAUAACUUCGGGAAACCGGAGCUAAUACCGGAUAAUAUAUUGAACCGCAUGGUUCAAUAGUGAAAGACGGUUUUGCUGUCACUUAUAGAUGGAUCCGCGCCGCAUUAGCUAGUUGGUAAGGUAACGGCUUACCAAGGCAACGAUGCGUAGCCGACCUGAGAGGGUGAUCGGCCACACUGGAACUGAGACACGGUCCAGACUCCUACGGGAGGCAGCAGUAGGGAAUCUUCCGCAAUGGGCGAAAGCCUGACAGAGCAACGCCGCGUGAGUGAUGAAGGUCUUCGGAUCGUAAAACUCUGUUAUUAGGGAAGAACAAAUGUGUAAGUAACUAUGCACGUCUUGACGGUACCUAAUCAGAAAGCCACGGCUAACUACGUG
rnacentral:rRNA from 1 species